CUGGCGACCGCCGCGCUCGCCGUCGCCUGUUUCAGCUUAGUGCACGUCGCACUCGCGGUCACACUUAUAUAUGCGGUACAUAAGCGGCGGGGGUGCGCGGUGCGCGCGUGGGCGCUGGUGAUGUGCGUGCUGUGCGCGGGCGCGCUGCUGUUCGUGGUGGUGUCGGCGGCCAGCUCGCGCCCGCACGCCACCGGCUCUGACAUCUUCCUCGCCUUCCUCGAAUGUGUCCUCUUCUUUGGCGCUGUGCUGUACUGCAUCCUGUGCGUGCACAGCUACUACCUGGUGCUGCGCUCCGCCGGCGACAUGCAGGCUCCCCCCAAACAUGACUACUGACUGUGACUGCCCCCCACCACUAUACUAUUCAACACAUAUAAGAUAAUUUCUAUAGUAACUUGUUCACGACCAAAGAGAUUCAAAAAAUAUAUACACGAAGCAUAGUUGACACUUCACUUGAGAUAUUUUUCACAUGAUCUACAAAAUUACAUGACAAUCAAUAUAUUUAAUUAUGUUCAUUAUAUUAGAAAUGAAUUGCCAAUAUAACUAAAUUAUACUUCAUACUUUUAAACAACUAAUGUAAUUUUAACUAGCCAUAUUAAUUUAAACACUAGACUAGAGAACUCGUCAGAAUGGCGCGCUAAUCAAUCCUCCCAAAGACAGUGACAGCUGUCAGUUAGAGAUGUGACGUUUAUGCCAAUAAACUAGUGUUGCGCCAAUUCCACAGCGCUGUACUAAUUUUCUUAACAAUACUAAUAUUUAAAAAUGCGAAAGUUUGGAUGGAUGGAUGUUUGUAAGAGUUUGUAGCCUAAACGGCUGAACGGAUUUCAAUUAAUUUUGGUAUAGAUGUAAAGGAUAAUCUGGAUGAACUCGUAGGCUACUCACUUUAGUUGUUUUUAUUCCAUGCGGACCGAGUCGUGGACGAAAGCUUGUCAUAUGUAAAUGUUUAUAUAUGAUUUAGUGACACUGUUUCGUUUAUUUAAUAACAAAAGAUAUUAUUAUAAUUUUGUAAAAUGUUUUAUAACAAGGACACGGUGGCACUAAACUUGACAACUAAUAUAAUACAUUUCAAAGAAGUUCCGGUGAAAAAAUGUUCACUAUGACUAGUCUAUAUAUUUCUUAAAUGUCUUUGUUGUCGGACCCCCCACCGUCUACCGACCCCCCGCAGUACCAACCCCCCCAAAUGUUACAAUACAGUUGCUGUAUUAACGUGUUUUUGAGCCAGUGCUUUAUUGAUGUUAACGUAAGACAAAUUUUAUUUUAAGUUGAAGUGUGAAAUGGCUUGUAAAAUCAAUGCCACAUUCUAGUACAAUUAUGUACAUGUUUUACAGGUUUUUUCGAACUUUUUGUAAUCCUUUAACGAACAAAUUAGAAUCUCCAAGGUGCUAUUGUUUUGGAUUUAAAUACCUGAUUUUAUUUAAAAAAAAAUUGACUUUUUUUAUAUUUUUUAUUGAUGACGAUAAUA